AAACAUGAAACUGAUGCUGACCUUAAAAGGCUGCUACUUUUUAUUUUAAGUCAAGCAACAAUCAUUACCACAGAUUAUUCACUGUGCAUUCUUCAUACGACUCUUUAUCAGCAAUGCCCACAAAAAGCACUCUAAAUGAUACAUAAAUUUGACUGAUGAACCUCAAAGGAGUAUUAUGAGCUUCACAACAGAGACUGAGACACGGAAGAGGCACAUUCACAUGAACAUGGAGCCAGCUGUGUGAGCCACCUCACCCUGAGGCUGUGGCACACAUCCCAUGAACAAUCACAUCUGUGUCCUUUUCGUGGAUCUGACCUGACAUACAGCAGCGCAGAGCUCAUUGCUUGGCAUGUGGUCUCUUGCUUCAGCAUCAAGGAUGCUCUGCAGCAUGGCACACUGCAAAAGCAAAGUAGCAACAAAGGAACACCAGUUUUUUGUUAUUCCCAGAAGAAGAAGAAGCAGGAGAAGGUCCGUGAGACAGAAUGGAUGCAUUCAGUGCAUAAUGCUGCCUCUGGUUCUUGCUUGUUCAAUAUACUUUCAUUUAACUAAUUUGUUAUCUGUCAUUUCCUCACAAGCCCUCAAAGGCUUGAAAUCUUUGAGUGGGCUGAAGCAUUACGUGCCCUGCUGGUACCAAACUCACACAGAUUCUUGCAUCCAUUUUUUGAUAUAACUGUGAGGAUCCAAGCUCUUAGGUCUUUAUCAUGUGUUGCAAUAUAAUCAGAAUGAUGCAGUGAGUUCAGUGUCAGUGUCAAUGGAGAAUGAAUGAGAUGGGGGUUGUUUCUAAUAUCAA
rnacentral:lncRNA from 1 species